rnacentral:rRNA from 1 species
UACGUAGGCAGCGAGCGUUGUUCGGAAUUACUGGGCGUAAAGAGUGUGUAGGCGGUGCUCUAAGUCUGGUGUGAAAUCUCCCGGCUCAACUGGGAGGGUGCGCCGGAAACUGGAGUGCUCGAGUAUGGGAGAGGUAAGCGGAAUUCCUGGUGUAGCGGUGAAAUGCGUAGAUAUCAGGAGGAACACCUGCGGUGUAGACAGCUUUCUGGACCAUCACUGACGCUGAGACACGAAAGCGUGGGUAGCAAACAGG